UAGCAAGCUAAGCUAAGCACAAACACUUCAACAAACAGCUCUUUUUCUCUCUCUAUCUAUCUCCAUCUUUGCCUCUUGUUUUGCUUCAAUGGCGAUCCCUGUGAUUGAUUUCUCAGAGCUCAAUGGCGAGAAGAGGGCCGAGACAUUGGCUCAAAUUGCUAAUGGAUGUGAGGAAUGGGGAUUCUUCCAGCUGGUGAACCAUGGGAUUUCGGAGGAGCUCCUUGAAAGGGUGAAGAAGGUCAGCUCCGAGUGUUUUAAGCUUGAAAGAGAAGAAAAUUUCAAGAACUCUACACUAGUGAAGAAGUUGAAUGAAUUGGCGGAAACCAAGAGCGGCAAGUUGGAGAAUGUGGACUGGGAGGAUGUCGUUACUCUCCUAGACAAUAACGAGUGGCCAGCUCAAACCCCAGGAUUCAAGGAAAUCAUGGCUGAAUACCGGUCAGAAUUGAAGAAACUGGCCGCGAAGGUCAUGGAAGUGAUGGAUGAGAAUUUGGGCUUACCAAAGGGAUACAUUAAGAAGGCAUUUGAUGGGGAAGGAGAUGAUGCCUUCUUUGGUACUAAGGUGAGCCACUACCCCCCAUGUUCCCAUCCAGAGCUGGUGAAUGGUCUCCGAGCUCACACAGAUGCUGGCGGUGUCAUCUUACUUUACCAAGACGAUGUGGUGGGUGGUCUUCAAAUCCUCAAAGAUGGGAAAUGGAUCGAUGUCCAGCCACUACCAAACUCCAUUGUCAUCAACACUGGAGAUCAGGUUGAGGUCUUAAGCAAUGGCCGAUAUAAGAGUGUCUGGCACCGGGUUUUGGCUGCACCAGAAGGGAACAGGAGAUCAAUUGCUUCAUUUUACAAUCCCUCACUUAAGGCCACUAUAUCCCCUGCACCACAGCUAGUGGAGAAUGUUAAGGAAGAGGUGAAUCAAGUUUACCCCAAGUUUAUGUUUGGUGACUACAUGUCUGUUUAUGCUGAGCAGAAGUUCCUCCCAAAGGAACCAAGGUUCCAGGCUGUGAGAGCCAUGUAAGAAGGUUAAACUUCAAAUAUUUAGAAGAUUACAAAUUUGGUUUUUCCUUUUGUGAUAAAGAUUGUCCUACUGACAAAGGAUACCCCUGGCUUGUCUUACUCUUAACCACAUGUAGGGGAGGAAAGAAAGCUGAAGUGGGUGUUAGUGUUUGUGUGUGUGUUUUAGAUUGCUGUUUUCUUUCUUGUUAUGCACUUAUGGGUUUCUUUAAUGCACCUACUAAAUUCUCAAAAAUAAAAAAAUUAAUGCACCUACUAAGGUUUGCUUUGUACAAUAGAUUAUAUAAAUUGUACUUUUUGAAUAUUGUUCACAAAUUGUAAGGUUUUUAUUUCCUUGCUAGGUGACAAUGGAAUUCUUA